UACGGAGGAUCCAAGCGUUAUCCGGAAUCAUUGGGUUUAAAGGGUUCGUAGGCGGUUUUGUAAGUCAGUGGUGAAAGUUUGCAGCUUAACUGUAAAAUUGCCAUUGAUACUGCAAGACUUGAAUGUUUGUGAAGUAGCUAGAAUAUGUAGUGUAGCGGUGAAAUGCUUAGAUAUUACAUGGAAUACCGAUUGCGAAGGCAGGUUACUAACAAAUUAUUGACGCUGAUGGACGAAAGCGUGGGGAGCGAAC
rnacentral:rRNA from 1 species